CAAUCCUAAACACAAAAAACCCAUUAAUUUAAAUCGCAAAUUACUACGGCUAUGGCUUACAUGGCACAAUUGACUAUUGACAAUAAGCAAUGGGCACAAUUUCAUCCAUGAAGCCCAACCUCCAGUCCGUCACCCUCCUUUUAUCUCCAACCGCAGCAACAAUAAACAUUCAAACCUGAACGACACAGUGAAGAAGGAAGCACAGAUGAAUGAGAGGCAGCAAUUUCUGCUACUGGCUACGGCUAUCUUGAGUUGGAGGAGCGGCGAGAAAAAGGAAGCCUUGGAGGGAGCUGCCGCUUUUAAUAGCUGAAUUUGACUAAUCAAUAGUGUUGAUUCCAUAAAUAGAUUAAUUCAGUUGUUGAAACAUUUAAACUUACAUCUAACUUGGUACGCCCCUUAUUAAGAAUCUCAUCCAUGAGUCACCCCUCUUCGUACUUUGAUGUCAUCUCUAGCAACAUUAAAAUAAACUUAAAAAACCAACACCAAUAAUUAUUUCUUUUCCACAAUACAUUUUCAUAAAAGAAUCAUCAGAAGACAGUUUACACACGCUUCCACGAACAAAAAACUACUUGGACUCAAAUACAUGAUGAAACGAAACGGUAAAUAGUUUGAAACAUCCAAAGUUGCUACGAAGCGUAUAGUCUUGCUAGCAGAUUUAACUUCUCCACACAAAGCGCAAAAAUAUAAAAAUAAAUAAUAAAACCGCUACUUAAUGACAAGUCUCAUCUCAUGUAAAAUAUUUCCUGAAACAGCCCAUGUUCUCAAACCCACAUUAAUCGCACUGCUAAACUACAAUUAUCAGCAGUCAACAAUGGACAAACCCCACACAGUGGGAGGGACAUUUACUUCGGGCCAAUGUCCUUCAGAGCACAAAUCUGCUCCUCUCCCAUGGAAGACAUCACAGUCACAACCAAAUCUUUCCCCUCGGCGAAUCCAUCCUUGAUCUGCAUAAUACAAAGAAAUUCACAUCACCGAGGAAAAUCAUAAAAUAAUCAUUUAGUCAUAGUUCAUCCAAGUACCAAGGACAGAGCACAGAGCAAUGGAUAUGGAUCGCUAGAAGAUGGGGAAAAUAAAGACAGUUCUUGGAAGGAUUAGCAGGGAGAGGCUAUGUGAUAACCCAAUUUGAGAUUUGACUUCCAUAAUGGGAAGAUUUGAAAGCCUAUAUCCCCAUCCACGCAAUUCAAAACUAUAUUCUUACCCCUCACAUUAGGUUUCAACAGAGAAGCGAUUAUUAGUGGGCUGCAAUUUUAUGGCUAUCCUGUGAAUUUUCAACUAAAAUUUUUAUGACUGCUGUCAACUUUCAGCUAAAACUGCAUUCUUAAAGUUGAAUAAUGAAGGGCAUAUUCAUUAUCUUAUACCCCUUCAUUUCUCUUCCACCUCCACUCCAUCACUCAUAGGUUAUCCUAUUUAGCAGAUUGGGGGAUUGGGGUGUUCUUUAGGGAAUUGGGAGAUGGCUAUCAAUCCGCCAGUAAGGUGGUAUUCUUCACUAACCUGAGUCAGCAGAUUU
rnacentral:misc_RNA from 1 species